UACGUAGGGGGCAAGCGUUGUCCGGAUUUACUGGGCGUAAAGAGCGCGUAGGCGGAAUUUAAGCGUGGCCUGAAAGCCCCGGCUCAACCGGGAGUGCGGCUGCGAACUGGAUUCUUGAGGACGAUAGAGGAGAGUGGAAUUCCUGGUGUAGCGGUGAAAUGCGUAGAUAUCAGGAGGAACACCCGAGGCGAAGGCGGCUCUCUGGGUCGUACCUGACGCUGAGACGCGAAAGCGUGGGGAGCAAACAGG
rnacentral:rRNA from 1 species